rnacentral:rRNA from 1 species
UACGGGGGGGGUAAGCGUUGUUCGGAAUUACUGGGCGUAAAGGGCUCGUAGGCGGCCAACUAAGUCAGACGUGAAAUCCUUCAGCUUAACUGGGGAACUGCGUCUGAUACUGGAUGGCUUGGAUUCGGGAGAGGGAUGUGGAAUUCCAGGUGUAGCGGUGAAAUGCGUAGAUAUCUGGAGGAACACCGGUGGCGAAGGCGGCAUCCUGGACCGAGAUUGACGCUGAUGCGCGAAAGCCAGGGAGCAAACAGG